rnacentral:lncRNA from 1 species
CUUUAGGAAAAUGUCAUUUCCUUCCUUAUCUCUUUUAAUCAUAUCAAAUUCUACUUUGGCUUUGUCUGGUAUCAUGAAUGCUUCUCCUACUUUUUUUACUCUAGAUGAUGCAUACUAAAUUCUGCUACAGCCUUUUACCUUGAAUCUGUAUGUACCACCCUUCCUCAAAUGAGUUUCUAGUAAACAACAUAUGGUGUGAUAGAGGCUGGCACUAGAGAAAAAGUGCCAGGCUGAAGAGUAUGUGAAAUUGAUCACCUCAAAGGGGGAGUGACCCCAGGAGUGGAAUCCAGAGGAGGAGAAGACUCUGGCUGGGAGAGCAGUGAGGGUUUCUCUCGGUCUUGAGAAGCCAGAGAGAGAAGUUGGAAAAAAGACUAUCUCCUGAGGGUUAUCCAUCUUUCCUGCUGGUGACUGGAAAUCUUUUCCCCCAACACUUCUCAGUUGAAAGUACUUCUGAAGAGAAACCUGAGCAGACUUUACCUCAGCUCCUGUUGCCUAGAGAGAAAGUACAUAUCAUAAAGAAUAACAUAGACUACAGGAAUAAUGAGACAGGUGGCUUUAUUUUACCAGAAGAGCAGAAGGUAACAGAAAUUUACCGGAUGGUCACUCUAUUUAUCUGA